GGGGGUGUAGCUCAGGGGCAGAGCAUUUGACUGCAGAUCAAGAGGUCCCCGGUUCAAAUCCGGGUGCCCCCU
rnacentral:tRNA from 1 species